rnacentral:lncRNA from 1 species
CUACGUUGGAUGCAGUGGCGAAAACUGUUGAUGGCUCCUUCUUGGCCUCGCGUUUCAUGAGAGACUGGUAGAACUCAACCAGCUCAGGUGCUCGAUGGACCUUGUCGCCGCCGGGCGUCUUCGAUAGCCCACCGGGGGGAGGAGGAGGCCGCGGUGGAGGAGGCGGCGCGCCAGGACGUGGUGGCAACGGUGGAGGUGGUGGCACACCACUUGAACUGUUGGUGGAGCUCGGAGCACCACCACCAGAUGAUGGCUUCGGAGGCGGUCGGGGCACCCUCGGCGCCCUCUUCUCGAUCUGUGCAAGCUGCAUCUUGCUCACCACUGAGCUAUCGAUUUUGCUGCCGUUAGGUUGCUCACCUGGUUCAGUGGCUGCAGGUACCUUCUCCUUUAUCAGGGCAAGCUUUGGAGGCAAUGCUGCCUUCGUCCUCGACUCUGUGCAUGGAUUCAGAGCCGAGUUGUGGCUGAAACGUUCUGCUCGAGCUUGCUCGGCUUUCUCCUUGAUUUGCUUCUCUCUUUCCAUUGCCAGCUUAUGCCGGUCUUUGAACGCAGGAUACUUCUCUUCAGCCACUCCCUCCACCGACUUUGACAUCAAGUGGAAGGACGCAGCGACAUUGUUCAGCUGCUCAUCCGAGGAGACCUGCGUCCUAAUGCGCGGAAGAUUGGCUUCCUCCAAGAACUCAUUCGGGUCCUGCUCCUUC